rnacentral:rRNA from 1 species
AUAUCAAUAAGCGGAGGAAAAGAAACCAACAGGGAUUGCCUCAGUAACGGCGAGUGAAGCGGCAAUUGCUCAAAUUUGAAAUCUGGUCCCCUUGGGGCCCGAAUUGUAAUUUGCAGAGGAUGCUUCGGUGAGGACGCUGGCCCAAGUCCCCUGGAACGGGACGUCAUAGAGGGUGAGAACCCCGUCCGGCCGCGCGACCAAACCAUGUGUUGCUCCUUCAACGAGUCGAGUUGUUUGGGAAUGCAGCUCAAAAUGGGUGGUAAAUUCCAUCUAAGGCUAAAUACUGGCCAGAGACCGAUAGCGCACAAGUAGAGUGAUCGAAAGAUGAAAAGCACUUUGAAAAGAGAGUUAAAAAGCACGUGAAAUUGUUGAAAGGGAAGCGCUUGCUGCCAGAUCCUUCCGUGACUGUUCAAUCGGCCUCUUAUGGCCGACUUAAUCUUUCACGGCUAGGGCCAGCAUCGGUUUAGGUGGUUGGAUAAAGGCCCUGGGAAUGUGACCCUUCAGGGUGUUAUAGCCCUGGGUGCAAUGCGACCUGCUUAGACCGAGGGAAGCGAUUUUUUCCAGGAUGCUGGCUUAAUGGUUGCAAGCGG